UACGGAGGGUGCGAGCGUUGUUCGGAAUUACUGGGCGUAAAGCGCGCGCAGGCGGCCCUUUAAGUCUGACGGUGAAAUGCCGGGGCUCAACCCCGUGCCCGCCGCGGAUACUGGAGGGCUGGAGACACGUAGAGGCAAGCGGAAUUCCGGGUGUAGCGGUGGAAUGCGUAGAGAUCCGGAAGAACACCGGAGGCGAAGGCGGCUUGCUGGGCGUAGUCUGACGCUGAGGCGCGAAAGCGUGGGGAGCGAACAGG
rnacentral:rRNA from 1 species